AUGCAAUCUUAUGAUGAAAAACUUAAUUUGGAAGUUUCUAUACCUAGAAAACUUUAUGAUGAGUGGGAACCUACUAUAAAGAUUAAAAUUAAAGAUCAUGAGUGUUAUGCUUUGUGUGAUUUGGGUGCUAGUGUUUCCACAAUUCCGAAAACUUUAUGCGAUAUUCUAGGUUUCCAUGAUCUUGAUGAUUGCUCUUUAAAUUUGCACCUUGCGGAUUAUACCAUUAAGAAGCCUAUGGGAAGGAUCAAUGCUGUUCUUAUUGUUGCAAAUAGGAACUAUGUGCCCGUAGAUUUUACCGUUCUUGACAUAGAUUGCAAUCUUUCUUGUCCUAUUAUUCUUGGUAGACCUUUCCUUAGAACGAUUGGUGCGAUUAUUGAUAUGAAGGAAGGGAAUAUUAGAUUCCAAUUUCCAUUAAGGAAAGGCAUGGAGCACUUUCCAAGAAAGAAAGUUAAAUUACCUUAUGAAUCUAUCAUGGAAGCUACUUAUGAAUUGAGUGCCAAAGAUGGCACUACUUAG
rnacentral:rRNA from 1 species